CCUGUCAAGCUAUAGAGUAUGUGGAGCUAUAGGUGGGCUAAAACAAGGAACGAACUAGCACCACGUUAGUUAUAAAAGCGAGCUGAAUAAGCGUUCGACGAUGGUACUGUGCUGGUCCUAGGCUAGACCGUGCUAGAGAUGCGAGCCUGGACACAAAGGAAAACCACAACACACCCCCAAAAACAAGGUGGAACAAACCUAAAAUCAAUAUGAAAAACAGCCCCUUUUUUUUAAUCUUUUCUCUUUUUUUCUUUUUUUUUCUUUUUUUUUGGGCAACCUCAAAAACUGAUUAUAUGAACAAAAGAAUACAAAAGAGCAAUUCGCUACCCACACUUUUUUCCGAAAGUACAGGGGUAUUCUGGUAAAAAGAAGAGUAAGGCCGAACAAGUAUGGAGUUAUCUUGCUUUUUUUAUCACGUUGGUGGAACUCAGAUUGGAACUCUACUCGAUCCGGACCAAGACCACAAUUCAAUUCGGACUUCGCAACAGAUUCGACAGAGAGAAGAUAUGGUAAUACUCGGCUAUGUAUAGAUGGUGACAAGAACUCGAAACUCUAAAGGACUAGACACUAAGACCAGCAACUCGACACAAACCGAAGCAACGCAAAUUCAACAAGCCCUAACUAAAAAGGUACUAGCCAAGGCACAAAGGUUUAAUAGGAUUAUGGAAAAACUAAUCUACUAUAUUUUUUUUGGCUUUUCUGGACUAUAGGAAAUUAAUUAAAAACAGCAAAGGAUUAGAAGUCUCUCACCGAAGAACCUUGCUCUGAUUACCAACUGAUGCGAACCCGCUAGGGUUUUUGCCCGAUCUUUUGAUGAGAGACGGGGAUAACUCGAUUGGUGGAUGGAGAUGACGUUCACGGCCCGACUACAGCCCUCAAGACCGCGCCUUAGCAACCGAUACACCACGUCCAAUAGCCGUCACGAUCUUGUGGAGCGCGACAACCAGCCCCUAGGGCUCCCGUCCUGCAAGCAAUCAAAGAACUAGCAAGAACGAGGAAACAAGCACUGAAUUUGCAAGAUGAAUUGAAGGUUUUAAACUGAAUCUUAAUCAACAAUGGGGUUCCGAAGACAAAGAGACGAGCGGCUGUUCCUGCACGCGCGCCUACAAGCAAGUAGCGAAGGCUAAACUUGAUCUAAACAAAACCCAACCACCAUGGCGACUCUAGAGGGAUAUAAGUAGAUGUAUUGAUGACCAAAGAGGUGUUGGGGUCGUCCUCCAACCCUAGGACGCGUCCCUAAUGGACCCAACUUGAUACAUGAGCCAUCAGCCCAAAAUGAGGUGACGCAGCACCCUGGACAGCAAGACCUAUCGAUGGUAAUUGGAUCAUUUCCGCUGCUGCCGAACAGGUAUUGACAUGGGACUUGAUUCAUACGAAAGUAGACUUGAUAAGCUUUCCAACAAGUCCUGAAGCGCCUGAAUCCGAAUCCGUAUGCAACCGUGGUAACGGUCACAAGUUGGCGCUUUGCUGCUGUCCGAAUCCAGCGAGCGUGAGUCCUUCUCCCUUUCGGUCUUCUCCUUGGUUCCUAAUCAAAACAAGAGUGCACGCGUUUCCAUUGUCUAAACAAGAUGGACAUGAGCUUAUCAAGGAACACACUUGGUUAUUAAGUUGACGAACACGAGCACGAGUAAGAGGACCAGCUAUAGGUUGUGUCGGAGAGGAUGUAUCGCUGGUGUUGAUGUCCUCAUCAAGUUCUAUCAGGUGCGUCCAAAUUGAUUUAUGAGAAUAUGGUACGUUCUAUGCAAACCGUACACCUAUCUUUCAUCAAGAUUAGCACUAUCUCCAAACAGACCAAACCGGGCUUUCACUUGAGCCUCUUCACCUAGGAGUACCAUCAGGAACAUCCACAACGAUUUCUGAGCCUAUGGUGCACUGGGCACAAACCAUGCAACUAUCUUGCACCGAAACUAAUACUAUCUCCAACUGGACGGAAGCGAGAUUCCACCGAAACUAAUACUAUCUCCAACUUGACGGAAGCGAGAUUCCAUAUGAUAAACUUCAUCUAGUAGUUCCAUCGGGUGCAUCCACAGUUCCAUCAGGUGUGUCUAAAUUGAUUUUUGAGCAUAUGGUAUGUUCCAUGCAAACCGUGCACCUAUCUUUCAUCAAGAUUAGAACUAUCUCCAAACAGACAGAACCAAGAUUCCACAUGAGCCUCUUCACCAAGGAGUACCAUCGCAUGCGUCCAAAAUAGUUUCUUAGCCUAUGGUGCAUUAGGCACAAACCGUGUACCUAUCUUGCACCGAAACUAACACUAUCUCCAAAGAGACCGAAGUGAGAUUCUAUAUGACACACGUCAUCUAGGAGUUCUAUUGGGUGCUUCCAAAUAUAUUUCGAAGCAUAUGGUACGUUCGAUGCAAUUCGUGCACCUAUCUUGCAUCAAGAUUAGCACUAUCUCCAAACAAAGCAAACUGAGCUUCCACUUGAGCCUCUUUACCCAGGAGUAUCAUCGGGUGCAUCCAAAAUGGUUUCUUAGCCUAUGAUGCAUUAGGCGCAAACUAUGCAUCUAUCUUGCACCAAAACUAGCUCUGUCUCCAAAUAGACCAAAGCGAGAUUCCAUAUGACACAUGUCAUCUAGGAGUUCUAUUGGGUGCGUCCAAAUGGAUUUCUUAGCAUAUGGUAUGUUCCAUGCAAACCGUGCACCUAUCUUACAUCAAGAUUAGCACUAUCUCCAAACAGAUCAAACCGACCUUCCACUUGAGCCUCUUCACCUAGGAUUAUCAUCGGGUGCUUCCAUAAUGGUUUCUGAGCAUAUGGUGCAUUAUGCGCAAACGAUGCACCAAUCUUCCACCUCAACUAACAAUGUCUCCGAACAGAUUGAAGCGAGAUUCCAAAUGACACACAUGAUCUAGGAGUUCUAUCGGGUGCGUCCAAAUUGAUUUAUGAGGAUAUGGUACGUUCUAUGCAACCCGUACACCUACCUUUCAUCAAGAUUAGCACUAUCUCCAAAUAGACCGAACCGGGCUUUCACUUGAGCCUCUUCACCUAGGAGUACCAUCAGGAACAUCCACAACGAUUUCUGAGCCUAUGGUGCACUGGGCACAAACCAUGCAACUAUCUUGCACUGAAACUAAUACUAUUUCCAACUGGACGGAAGCGAGAUUCCAUAUGAUAAACUUCAUCUAGUAGUUCCAUCGGGUGCAUCCACAGUUCCAUCAGGUUUGUCCAAAUUGAUUUUUGAGCAUAUGGUAUGUUCCAUACAAACCGUGCACCUAUCUUGCAUCAAGAUUAGAACUAUCUCCAAACAGACAGAAUCAAGAUUCCACAUAAGCCUCUUCACCAAGGAGUACCAUCGCGUGCGUCCAAAAUAGUUUCUUAGCCUAUGGUGCAUUAGGCACAAACUGUGUACCUAUCUUGCACCGAAACUAACACUAUCUCCAAAGAGACCGAAGUGAGAUUCUAUAUGACACACGUCAUCUAGGAGUUCUAUUGGGUGCUUCCAAAUAUAUUUCUAAGCAUAUGGUAUGUUCGAUGCAAUUCGUGCACCUAUCUUGCAUCAAGAUUAGCACUAUCUCCAAACAAAGCAAACUGAGCUUCCACUUGAGCCCCUUUACCCAGGAGUAUCAUCGGGUGCAUCCAAAAUGGUUUCUUAGCCUAUGAUGCAUUAGGCGCAAACUGUGUACCUAUCUUGCACCAAAACUAACUCUGUCUCCAAAUAGACCAAAGCGAGAUUCCAUAUGACACAUGUCAUCUAGGUGUUCUAUUGCGAUGCAUCCAAAUAGAUUUCUUAGCAUAUGGUAUGUUCCAUGAAAACCGUUCACCUAUCUUGCAUCAAGAUUAGCACUAUCUCCAAACAGAUCGAACCGACCUUCAACUUGAGCCUCUUCACCUAGGAGUACUAUCGGGUGCUUCCAUAAUGGUUUACGAGCCUAUGGUGCAUUAUGCGCAAACCAUGCACCAAUCUUGCACCUAAACUGUCUCCAAACAGAUUGAAGCGAGAUUCCAUAUGACACACAUGAUCUAGGAGUUCUAUCGGGUGCAUCCAAAUUGAUUUCUGAGAAUACGGUACGUUCCAUGCAAACCGUACACCUAUCUUUCAUCAAGAUUAGCACUAUCUCCAAACAGACCGAACCGAGCUUUCACUUGAGCCUCUUCACCUAGGAGUACCAUCGGGAACUUCCACAACGAUUUCUGAGCCUAUGGUGCACUGGGCACAAACCAUGCAACUAACUUGCACCAAAACUAAUAUUAUCUCCAACUGGACUGAAGCGAGAUUCCAUAUGAUACACUUCAUCUAGUAGUUCCAUCGGGUGCAUCUACAGUUCCAUCGGGUGUGUCCAAAUUGAUUUCUGAGCAUAUGGUAUAUUCCAUGCAAACCAUGCACCUAUCUUGCAUCAAGAUUGGAACUAUCUUCAAAUAGACAGAACCAAGGCCCACAUGAGCCUCUUCACCAAGGAGUACCAUCGCGUGCGUCCAAAAUAGUUUCUUAGCCUAUGGUGCAUUUGGCACAAACCGUGUACCUAUCUUGCACCGAAACUAACACUAUCUCCAAAGAGACCGAAGUGAGAUUCUAUAUGACACACAUCAUCUAGGAGUUCUAUUGGGUGCUUCCAAAUAUAUUUCUAAGCAUAUGGUAUGUUCGAUGCAAUUCGUGCACCUAUCUUGCAUCAAGAUUAGCACUAUCUCCAAAUAAAGCAAACUGAGCUUCCACUUGAGCCCCUUUACCCAAGAGUAUCAUCGGGUACAUCCAAAAUUGAUGCAAGCCCGCUAGGGUUUUUGGCCUGAUCUUUCGAUGAGAGGCACUGGAUAACUCGAUUAGUGGAUGGAGAUGACGUUCACGGCCCGACUACAGCCCUCAAGACCGCGCCUUAGCAACCGAUACACCACGUCCAACAGCCGUCACGAUCUUGUGGAGCGCGACAACCAGCCCCUAGGGCUCCCGUCCUGCAAGCAAUCGAAGAACUAGCAAGAACGAGAAAACAAGCACUGAAUUUGCAAGAUGAAUUGAAGGUUUUAAACUGAAUCUUAAUCAACAAUGGGGUUCCG
rnacentral:lncRNA from 1 species